rnacentral:rRNA from 1 species
AGCGAACGCUGGCGGCGUGCUUAACACAUGCAAGUCGAACGAAGGCUUCGGCCUUAGUGGCGGACGGGUGAGUAACGCGUGGGAAUCUACCUUACGGCGGGAAAUAACAGCGGGAAACUGCUGCUAAUACCGCAUACCCUCUACGGAGGAAAGGCUUCGGCCACCGUUUGAGGAUCCCGCGUCCGAUUGGCUAGUUGGUGUGGUAACGGCUCACCAAGGCGACGAUCGGUAGCUGGUCUGGGAGGAUGAUCAGCCACACUGGGACUGAGACACGGCCCAGACUCCGACGGGAGGCAGCAGUUGGGAAUAUUGGACAAUGGGGGAAACCAUGAUACAGCGACGCCGCGUGAAUGAUGAAGGCCUUAGGGUUGUAGAGUUCUUUCGUCCGUGACGAUGAUGACAGUAGCGGAAGAAGAAGCUCCGGCUAACUUCGUGCCAGCCGCCGCAGUAA